rnacentral:rRNA from 1 species
AACGAACGCUGGCGGCAUGCCUAACACAUGCAAGUCGAACGAGACCUUCGGGUCUAGUGGCGCACGGGUGUGUAACGCGUGGGAACCUGCCCUUAGGUUCGGAAUAACUCCCCGAAAGGGGUGCUAAUACCGGAUAAUGUCUUCGGACCAAAGAUUUAUCGCCUUUGGAUGGGCCCGCGUUGGAUUAGCUAGUUGGUAGGGUAAGAGCCUACCAAGGCGACGAUCCAUAGCUGGUCUGAGAGGAUGAUCAGCCACACUGGGACUGCGACACGGCCCAGACUCCUACGGAAGGCAGCAGUGGGGAAUAUUGGACACUGGGCGAAAGCCUGAUCCAGCAAUGCCGCGUGAGUGAUGAAGGCCUUAGGGUUGUAAAGCUCUUUUACCCGGGAUGAUAGUGACAGUACCGGGAGAAUAAGCUCCGGCUAACCCCGUG